AUUGAACGCUGGCGGCAUGCCUAACACAUGCAAGUCGAACGGAGGUAGGGGCAACUCUACUUCAGUGGCGGACGGGUGAGGAAUGCGUCGGAAUCUACCCUAUGGUGGGGGAUAACACAGGGAAACUUGUGCUAAUACCGCAUAAUGUCGAGAGACCAAAGCAGGGGACCGCAAGGCCUUGCGCGGUAGGAUGAGCCGACGCCCGAUUAGCUAGUUGGUAGGGUAAAGGCCUACCAAGGCGACGAUCGGUAGCUGGUCUGAGAGGAUGAUCAGCCACACUGGGACUGAGACACGGCCCAGACUCCUACGGGAGGCAGCAGUGGGGAAUAUUGGACAAUGGGCGCAAGCCUGAUCCAGCAAUGCCGCGUGUGUGAAGAAGGCCUGCGGGUUGUAAAGCACUUUUGUUCGGGAAGAAAUCAUGCUGGUUAAUACCUGGUAUGGAUGACGGUACCGAAAGAAUAAGCACCGGCUAACUUCGUGCCAGCAGCCGACGG
rnacentral:rRNA from 1 species